UGAAAUUAGGAUUUAUUUGAUUUGUUUUUAACUUAUUAUUUUUUUUCAGAUUUGAAGAUUACAAUGAUGAUUUUCAAUUUUCUUUUCUGAUUUAUGGUCCUCGAUAUUGAACAGUGGAAUAGAAUUUCAUUCUUCGAACUACCACUGACGAUUGUGCCAUAUUUGUGGCUGCAUUUGCCGAGUACAUCAUUGAAGGGAGGAAGGUGCCUUAUCAACUUUCGAUUGAAAAUGUAAGGUCUAGAUAUUGUAUUUUGUUGUAUUUUCAUGCAAAGUCAAAGCAACCACCAAGGCGAUAAUCGAUACUCAAGCUGCACCAAAUGUAAUAGAAGGCAGAGGUAAAAGAAACAAGAUUAAAGCAGAGAUUAAAGACAUUGAAGCUGCACCAAUGGUAGAAGUAGGCAGAGGGAAAAUGGAGAUUAUUAAAAUAGAGAAAAAGUAGUGAUGUUAUAUGAAUUAUGAUACUUUUAUAUUUUUAUGUCUAAAAAUUUGAAUUGGAUUAUUUCUUUUCAUUAUA